CUUGUUAUGCAUUCAUGGAUCCAGGGAGUAACGCCUCCUUCUGCACUAACAAGCUGGCGAACGACCUUCACCUGCAAGGAAAAAAUGUGAACAUCCUACUCACUACUAUGGGAGACCAAAAGACAGUCUCAUGUAAAGCUGUAUCAGACCUAGAAGUGAGUAGCUUAGAAGGUGAUGACUUUAUCGAGCUUACAGGUGUUUUCGCACAAAAGGUUAUCCCCGCAAGUAAAGAGAACAUUCCAACCCAAGAAGACGUGGAUAGGUGGCCACAUCUACGAGGUGUACGAAUUCCAUCGAUCAACGCGGAUAUCGGUCUUCUCAUUGGGACUGAUGUGGCAAAGGCUUUGGAGCCAAAAGAGGUAAUCCGCAGUGUCAAGGAUGGGCCGUAUGCAGUACGCACAGCUUUGGGAUGGACAGUGAACGGACCGCUGCGUGAGAACUUCAGAAGCUGGACAAAGAAUGGAUACCCGCAGAUCCAGAUGAAUCGGAUCUCAGUGGCUCGACUCGAAGACUUAUGGACUCAGCAACUCAAGUACGAUUUUCCUGAGAAUGCUCAAGGAGAGCAGUUAGAAAUGUCUAAGGAAGACCAACUGUUUAUGGAGAGAGUUUCCAAAUCGGCAAAGCUGGUCAACGGACACUACUCUAUUGGUCUUCCGUUGAAGAACAAGGAUGUGAAAAUGCCCAACAACAGAGCAAUGGCAGAGCAACGAGUGCUCAACAUGAAAAAGAAGCUACAGAGAAAUCAAACGUUCAAAGAGGACUAUGUCAGCUUCAUGAAUGAUGUGAUAAAGAAGGGCUACGCUGUAAAGGUUCCAGAUGAAGAACUAAAACGGAGUGAUGGAAAGGUGUGGUUUAUUCCGCAUCACGGUGUCUACCACCCUAAGAAGCAUAAAAUGCGUGUGGUAUUCGACUGUGGCGCUUCAUAUCAAGGAACCACACUCAAUGAACAAUUACUGCAAGGGCCUGACAUGACAAGCAGUCUGGUUGGUGUCUUGACUAGAUUCCGUCAAGAGCGAGUCGCAAUCAUGGCGGAUGUGGAAUCGAUGUUCCACCAGGUCAAAGUCCCACCAGAAGAUGCCGACCUUCUCAGGUUUUUGUGGUGGC
ensembl:lncRNA